UACGAAGGGGGCUAGCGUUGCUCGGAAUCACUGGGCGUAAAGCGCACGUAGGCGGAUUGCUAAGUCAGGGGUGAAAUCCUGGAGCUCAACUCCAGAACUGCCUUUGAUACUGGCGAUCUCGAGUCCGGGAGAGGUGAGUGGAACUGCGAGUGUAGAGGUGAAAUUCGUAGAUAUCGCAAGAACACCAGUGGCGAAGGCGACUCUUUGGCCUGUAAACUGACACUGAGGCGCGAAAGCGUGGGGAGCAAACAGGA
rnacentral:rRNA from 1 species